ACUCCCACAUCGCCCGGGAACUACGAGCUAAGCUUAAAACCCAAAGGACUUGACGGUACCCCAUAUCCCCCUAGAGGAGCCUGUCCUAUAAUCGAUAACCCCCGUUUAACCUCACCAUUUUUUGCCAGUCAGCCUGUAUACCUCCGUCGUCAGCUUACCACGUGAGCGUCAGUGAGCCUAAUGUUUCUCCAACUACACGUCAGGUCAAGGUGCAACAUAUAAAAUGGGAAGAGAUGGGCUACACUUUCUACCAUAGAAUAAACGAAAGACUAAAUGAAACCUAGUCAGAAGGCGGAUUUAGCAGUAAAAUGAAACUAGAGCGUUCACUUAAAUGCGGCACUGGGGUGUGUACACACCGCCCGUCACCCUCCUCAACUCUGCAUAAAAGUUUUUAACACCUUCCCAGAGACUCAGAAGAGGCAAGUCGUAACACGGUAAG
rnacentral:rRNA from 1 species